GAUGAACGCUGGCGGCGUGCCUAAUACAUGCAAGUCGAGCGAACAGAUGAGGAGCUUGCUCCUCUGACGUUAGCGGCGGACGGGUGAGUAACACGUGGAUAACCUACCUAUAAGACUGGGAUAACUUCGGGAAACCGGAGCUAAUACCGGAUAAUAUAUUGAACCGCAUGGUUCAAUAGUGAAAGACGGUUUUGCUGUCACUUAUAGAUGGAUCCACGCCGCAUUAGCUAGUUGGUAAGGUAACGGCUUACCAAGGCAACGAUGCGUAGCCGACCUGAGAGGGUGAUCGGCCACACUGGAACUGAGACACGGUCCAGACUCCUACGGGAGGCAGCAGUAGGGAAUCUUCCGCAAAGGGCGAAAGCCUGACGGAGCAACGCCGCGUGAGUGAUGAAGGUCUUCGGAUCGUAAAACUCUGUUAUUAGGGAAGAACAAAUGUGUAAGUAACUAUGCACGUCUUGACGGUACCUAAUCAGAAAGCCACGGCUAACUACGUG
rnacentral:rRNA from 1 species